rnacentral:rRNA from 1 species
AGUAACGCGUGGAGAACCUGCCGUAUACUGGGGGAUAACACUUAGAAAUAGGUGCUAAUACCGCAUAAGCGCACAGAGCCGCAUGGCUCAGUGUGAAAAACUCCGGUGGUGUAAGAUGGAUCCGCGUCUGAUUAGCUAGUUGGCGGGGUAGAAGCCCACCAAGGCGACGAUCAGUAGCCGGCCUGAGAGGGUGAACGGCCACAUUGGGACUGAGACACGGCCCAAACUCCUACGGAAGGCAGCAG